GUGGGGAAUCUUGCGCAAUGGGCGAAAGCCUGACGCAGCCAUGCCGCGUGAAUGAUGAAGGUCUUAGGAUUGUAAAAUUCUUUCACCGGGGACGAUAAUGACGGUACCCGGAGAAGAAGCCUCGGCUAACUUCGUGCCAGCAGCCGCGGUAAUACGAAGGGGGCUAGCGUUGCUCGGAUUUACUGGGCGUAAAGGGCGCGUAGGCGGACAUUUAAGUCAGGGGUGAAAUCCCGGGGCUCAACCUCGGAACUGCCUUUGAUACUGGGUGUCUUGAGUAUGAGAGAGGUGUGUGGAACUCCGGGUGUAGAGGUGAAAUUCGUAGAUAUUCGGAAGAACACCAGUGGCGAAGGCGACACACUGGCUCAUUACUGACGCUGAGGCGCGAAAGCGUGGGGAGCAAACAGGAUUAGAUACCCUAGUAGUCC
rnacentral:rRNA from 1 species